GUGAAUCAUCGAAUCUUUGAACGCAAAUUGCACUCUCUGGUAUUCCGGAGAGUAUGCCUGUUUGAGGGUCAGUUUAAAUAAAAAUCGGUGUGGUUGUUGCAUUUCGUGGUGACGCAGCGGAUUUGGGUCGUCUUGCCUUCGGUUAAGUGAACUAAAAUUGAGCAUGUUUUUUUUCGCACGUCUUUUAAUGAUUUUAC
rnacentral:misc_RNA from 1 species